GCAAUUUGGUUGGAACUUCAUUGUUUUUCUCUAGUUGGCGUUCUCUGUUGUGUUGGUUCUUGACUGCAUUGUAAGUUCAUCUGAUCAUUUUAGAUUGCCCAAGAAUGGUUUAGAAUAUAGGAAGAAAAUGUUCUCUUAAACAAGUGGACGGAUGCUUUGUAAAUCGACGACUAUCCUUUUGCCUUUAAAAUUGAAACAUCAACUCGUGAUGUGUUGUUAUAUCCAUCAAAAGGUGGAUUGGUGCUCAGUUUUUGCAGUCUAACACCUUCUAGGUACUAUUAACUAUUUCAUCUGAGAAAAAUUUUUAAGUAUUGCUGCUUGUGAGUUCCUAGAUAUCCCAUGCUAGUACUAGUGUACUAAUCAAUUUGUGCUGAGGGUUCUGCAAUUGGUGAAACGCAGAAUACGACAUAGAACCUCUUAUUUGGAUGAUAUAUGACCUUUUUGCAAGGGAUAUAAGUUUAGGAGGAUUCAGAG
rnacentral:misc_RNA from 1 species